AAGAGGCCCAAGGGCCUGGCGCUCAGCUGAAAUGGAUAGGUGAAGGCAAGGGCCAAGUGUGUGUCGGUACCGUUAUUAUGAGGCAACGUGAAGCUAUAACGUCUAGCACGCAGAAGUGCUGGUGCGAAGACCUUCUUGCUAUAUCAGUGCAUGCUGAAGUACUGAGUUGACGUCACCCUGCUAUAUGACGUUGCCGUUGCAGUAGUGGGGUGUGUGAUGACGUCAAGGAGUUGUGUGGUGACGUCAAAGAGUGGAGUCCUUGUCUUCAUGCAGCGUAGGUGGAACUAAUAACAUGCACAUGGACACAAGCCAACAGUACAACCAUGCACAGCGCAGUGUACAGACAGUACAGGAUUGCAAACCAAAAACAUGAGCAUUGCUGCCUAACGAAACUGCAGUGGAAUUCAUACUACGAUGUCAUAAUGUGACUUUCAAAAUAAUUUUUUUCACGGCCAAUGACCAGACAGGGAGAAAACAAACGUAAAUGGCGAGAUUUGUUGCAAAAUUGCCAACCACAACAACUCAGGGACCGCUUGUGGUAUUCGACUCGAUGACUCGACGACGCGAUGGCUCGAUGACGCGAUCGUUGCUAUGGAUUUUGCUAAAAUACGGAAUCCCAUGAUCCUGGUCUCCGGGCUACCGCUGCAACAGCAGAGGUUUUAGCUCGGCCUUUCCCAUACCCAGCUACGGUAUGUGGA